rnacentral:rRNA from 1 species
GCCCGCUCAGAAACUCAAAGGAAUUGACGGGGCCCGCACAAGCGGUGGAGUAUGUGGUUUAAUUCGAUGCAACGCGAAGAACCUUACCUGGUCUUGACAUCCCGGAGACCCUUAGGAAACUAGGGGGUGCUUCCAUCUGGAAGAAUCUGGAGACAGGUGCUGCAUGGCUGUCGUCAGCUCGUGUCGUGAGAUGUUGGGUUAAGUCCCGCAACGAGCGCAACCCUUGCCUUUAGUUGCCAGCAGUUCGGCUGGGCACUCUAAAGGGACUGCCGGUGUUAAACCAGAGGAAGGUGGGGAUGACGUCAAGUCCUCAUGGCCUUUAUGACCAGGGCUACACACGUACUACAAUGGCCGAUACAAAGGGCAGCGACACUGCGAGGUGAAGCCAAUCCCGUAAAAUCGGUCUCAGUCCGGAUUGGAGUCUGCAACUCGACUCCAUGAAGUUGGAAUCGCUAGUAAUCGUGGAUCAGCAUGCCACGGUGAAUACGUUCCCGGGCCUU